AUGUCAUGAUGUGGGCAUUUCCUAAGCAAAUCAUUAAACCUUUCCUAUGCUUCAUGAAAUAUUUCCCCAUCCCCUUGAGAAAAUUCACGAAUGGGAUUCCUCAUAGCAU